CCGCCUGGGGAGUACGGCCGCAAGGUUAAAACUCAAAAUGAAUUUGACGGGGGGCCGCACAAGCGGUGGAGCAUGUGGGUUUAAUUCGAUGCAACGCGAAAGAACCUUACCUGGCCUUGACAUCCAGAGAACGUAGCAGAGAUGCUUCGGUGCCUUCGGGAACUCUGAGACAGGUGCUGCAUGGCUGUCGUCAGCUCGUGUUGUGAAAUGUUGGGUUAAGUCCCGCAACGAGCGCAACCCUUAUCCUUUGUUGCCAGCGGGUGAUGCCGGGAACUCAAAGGAGACUGCCGGUGAUAAACCGGAGGAAGGUGGGGAUGACGUCAAGUCAUCAUGGCCCUUACGGCCAGGGCUACACACGUGCUACAAUGGCGCAUACAAAGAGAAGCGACCUCGCGAGAGCAAGCGGACCUCAUAAAGUGCGUCGUAGUCCGGAUCGGAGUCUGCAACUCGACUCCGUGAAGUCGGAAUCGCUAGUAAUCGUAGAUCAGAAUGCUACGGUGAAUACGUUCCCGGGCCUUGUACACACCGCCCGUCACACCAUGGGAGUGGGUUGCAAAAGAAGUAGGUAGCUUAA
rnacentral:rRNA from 1 species